rnacentral:rRNA from 1 species
AGUGAACGCUGGCGGUAGGCCUAACACAUGCAAGUCGAACGGCAGCACAGUAAGAGCUUGCUCUUACGGGUGGCGAGUGGCGGACGGGUGAGGAAUACAUCGGAAUCUACUUUUUCGUGGGGGAUAACGGAGGGAAACUUACGCUAAUACCGCAUACGACCUACGGGUGAAAGCAGGGGAUCUUCGGACCUUGCGCGAUUGAAUGAGCCGAUGUCGGAUUAGCUAGGUGGCGGGGUAAAGGACCACCAAGGCGACGAUCCGUAGCUGGUCUGAGAGGAUGAUCAGCCACACUGGAACUGAGACACGGUCCAGACUCCUACGGGAGGCAGCAGUGGGGAAUCUUGGACAAUGGGCGCAAGCCUGAUCCAGCCAUACCGCGUGGGUGAAGAAGGCCUUCGGGUUGUAAAGCCCUUUUGUUGGGAAAGAAAAGCAGCAGGUUAAUACCCCGCUGUUCUGACGGUACCCAAAGAAUAAGCACCGGCUAACUUCGUG